GCCUCAUUAGCUCAGCUGGUAGAGCAACUGAUUUGUAAUCAGUAGGUCACUGGUUCGACUCCGGUAUGAGGCUCCA
rnacentral:tRNA from 1 species